rnacentral:rRNA from 1 species
GGGAAGAGCUCAAAUUUGAAAUCUUCAAGGUUUUACCUUGACGAAUUGUAGUUUAAAGAAGUGUUUUCUGUUGAAGUUUUGGUAAAAGUUCUUUGGAAUAGGACAUCAUAGAGGGUGAGAAUCCCGUAUUUGACCAUUAUUUUCAGCUGUGUGAUACACUUUCAAAGAGUCGGAUUGUUUGGGAAUGCAGUCCAAAAUGGGUGGUAAAUUUCAUCUAAAGCUAAAUAUUGGCGAGAGACCGAUAGCGAACAAGUACCGUGAGGGAAAGAUGAAAAGAACUUUGAAAAGAGAGUUAAACAGUACGUGAAAUUGUCAAAAGGGAAGCGUUUGACACCAGUGUUGUUUUCUCGAAAAUCAAUUAAAAAAAGUUGGAUUUUGUGUUGUAUUGACCUUAACAGCUUGCUUCACUCUUUUCCUGCUUUUUUUAAUGCACUUUUCGUUUAACAAGUCAACAUCAGUUUCUUUUGUUGUAAAAGGGUCAUUGGAAGGUGGCUUUCUCUUCGGAGAAAGUGUUUAUAGCCUUUGAUCUCUGCAAUCGGAGAGACUGAGGUCUGCAGCGUAGAUCCUUCGGGGUUAGAUACAUUUGUGCUAAGCUACAGCUUUUCAUAGACAACUUGUUGACUAUGUUUAGUCUUGUGACUUACCCGCUUAUGCUAUUUUACCUACGCUUAGGAUGUUGACAAAAUGGUUUUAAACGAC